rnacentral:sRNA from 12 species
GGUCUCCACCAAAGCUGUGCCGCGAGGCCAUGCGGGAGUGAGAGAGGCUUCACCUUCGGGUGAUGCCAUUCCUUCCACAUCUGGUGCCGGGCAUCGGUCUGCCAGGGUCGUGCGCAUUGCGGCGCCGCCCGGGACCGAAGGCACGGGGGCGA